rnacentral:lncRNA from 1 species
ACCCUACUCUAAUAAGGCUUUAAUAUCUGGAGCUCAUAGGUGGGAGAUAAAAUAUACAUACUUACAAGACAUUUAUUGCAUAGUCAAACCAUGGAUCCAAAGAAACAAAUCAAUAAGUCAAAUCAAGAUGUGCAUGUGUGGCGAAUGAAUGGUGUAUGGUGAUGAUGGUGAUAACAAUGGUGGAAGUCUAAUUCUACUUUUGCUCUUUGAGGGGAUACAUACCUUCCUUGCUUUUUGAAUAAUGAGGAGAAUGAGAUGCUCUUCUUUUUCUUUUCUCUCAGGUGGGUAUCUUGUACCCCUAAUUCUACUGUCGGACACUUGUCUAUUUUUACCUCUCGUCUCACUUUUUCUUUUCUUUCGAGGUUCCGAGCACUUGCUCCUUUUUAUUUCCUCAUAUUUCUCUUCUUUUUUUAGAGCACUCAUCCCUUGAGAUAAUAUAGCA